GAUGAAGAACGUAGCGAAAUGCGAUACUUGGUGUGAAUUGCAGAAUCCCGUGAACCAUCGAGUCUUUGAACGCAAGUUGCGCCCGAAGCCAUUUGGUUGAGGGCACGUCUGCCUGGGCGUCACAUAUCGUUGCCCGAUGCCUAUUGCACUGUGAUAGGAAAUUCUAGGGCGAAAGAUGGCUUCCCGUGGGCGUUGUUGCCUCGCGGUUGGUUGAAAAUUGAGUCCUUGGUAGGGUGUGCCAUGAUAGAUGGUGGUCGAGUUUGCUCGAGACCGAUCAUGUGUGCGCUCCCCAAAAUAUGGACUCUUUGACCCCACACGCGUCUUUUGACGCUCAUGACGAGACCUCAGGUCAGGCGGGGCUACCCGCUGAGUUUAAGCAUAUCAAUAAGCGGAGGA
rnacentral:misc_RNA from 1 species